UACGUAGGUGGCAAGCGUUGUCCGGAAUUAUUGGGCGUAAAGCGCGCGCAGGCGGUUUUUUAAGUCUGAUGUGAAAGCCCACGGCUCAACCGUGGAGGGUCAUUGGAAACUGGAGAACUUGAGUACAGAAGGGGAAAGCGGAAUUCCACGUGUAGCGGUGAAAUGCGUAGAGAUGUGGAGGAACACCAGUGGCGAAGGCGGCUUUCUGGUCUGUAACUGACGCUGAGGCGCGAAAGCGUGGGGAGCAAACAGG
rnacentral:rRNA from 1 species